rnacentral:lncRNA from 1 species
CUCUGGCAGAAGUCAAUGGCUCAUUUGAUUGUCUAGCACAAGCAACUCAAUCCUUGCAUAUGGUAGAUAAGAAAUUGCCCUCAGCUCUGGUUUAAGUAUUGCCUUCCAUCUCCAUGGCACUCAUCGUCUACCACUCCUCACUGAGCUCCCUGCAGCCUGCAAUUUAGCACAUGUUCAUGCUGGGGGGAUCUCCAGAGGUCUCUAGCCCAAGCUACUCCAAGCAGGACCAGUGCUCCUCUCAGCCUGCUCAGCACCUGCACCCCGUCCACAUGAGUUUCAGACAAAGCCAGGUCACUGCACAGCUGGAGGCCCAAGGUGUGCGAUGCUGAGCCAGACAGGCAGUAAAUACCUGAGGCCUGAGUCUGCCUGCCUCGCUGACUUCCGUGGGAGUUGCACUGGGGUGUGUUCAGGGUUCAUGCGCACAGCACAACGCGUUUCAGGAAGGGAGGCGGCUCAGGGCCACGCAGCCAUGCUUUGCUAAAGGGAGCCCACCUCCCUGUGGGAGAAGAGCUUCAGAGGAGACAUCAGGGACUUGUGAGUCAUUCCCUUGCCAGCUACGUUCCUGCUCAACUCAAUGACCCUGAGAAAGCCACGCAUGUACCCUUUCUGUCAUUCCCAGGUCAAAAGAAAUUCCAGCUAAACAUUGGGUAUACUAAGCUGCAGAGAGGAUUUUGAGUUUGCACUGUUUUGCAAGUCUGCAUUUGCUGCCAAAAAAAGGGUUUUUUUACGGAGAGAGAAGCAUGAUGAGGAACUUGAGGAGUCAAGACUGUGUUUCUCACUGCGCAGUUACCUGAGGAAGAGCCAUGAGCAGGGCAGAGCAGAUCUGUCCUGGCUGCCUCCCAGCUGCCCUCCAACGCCAGCACCUGGCCUUGAUUCCAGAGCAGAAACCUGCAGCUCUGGCAGGACAAGACAAAAAGACAACUUAUUUGAUGGUCUGCAUUUCCAAAAGGAAACGCUACUAAAGUGGUUCUACGGCUGGUACCGCAGUGGGAAGCGCCAUGUGUGUGGGUGCCUGGGGAGCCAGGCUCUGCUCCACCAGGCCUUUUUUCAUCUUCCCACGUGCUUACUCACAGCGCCAGAUGCUGCCUCUCCAACCCGGUGGUGCCAACAUGCCGUUCAAUUGCAAGUUAUUGUAAGCCCAGGCUGUGAGGUGAAGAAUGUUUUAGAAGCACGGCUUGAUAAACCUGUGAAAUAAAUACAUACAAAUCCACUAC